GGAAUUCGAUUCAGGCCUAACACAUGCAAGUCGAACGGUAACAGGUCUUCGGAUGCUGACGAGUGGCGAACGGGUGAGUAAUGCAUCGGAACGUGCCCAGUUGUGGGGGAUAACUGCUCGAAAGAGCAGCUAAUACCGCAUACGACCUGAGGGUGAAAGCGGGGGAUCGCAAGACCUCGCGCAAUUGGAGCGGCCGAUGUCAGAUUAGGUAGUUGGUGGGGUAAAGGCCUACCAAGCCGACGAUCUGUAGUUGGUCUGAGAGGACGACCAGCCACACUGGGACUGAGACACGGCCCAGACUCCUACGGGAGGCAGCAGUGGGGAAUUUUGGACAAUGGGCGCAAGCCUGAUCCAGCAAAGCCGCGUGCAGGAAGAAGGCCUUCGGGUUGUAAUUAGAUGGUGUCAGGGAAGAAAUCCUCUGGGUUAAUACCCCGGGGGGAUGACGGU
rnacentral:rRNA from 1 species